rnacentral:misc_RNA from 1 species
AAGUCGUAACAAGGUUUCCGUAGGUGAACCUGUGGAAGGAUCAUUAGCGAGAGCCUGCCGCAGACUCGUGCGAGUCUGUGCGCAAGCGCGCCAUCCUUGUGUUGUGUGUGACGUGUUGUGUGCGCAAUGCCACUGUUGCCAAGGUGGCAGUGGCGUCUGCGCAUGCGCAUUUUUUUCACUCCAUUUCAUCGCAUUUAUUCUAAUUACUGCUGCUCGCAUGAGCACAAACAACCGAAAACUGCCAGCAAUGGAUCACUCGGUUCUC